ACCUCUAUCGCCAAGCGGAUCAAGGCAACGGGCUUCUAUCCCGUUAAUCGGGAGUUCGAAUCUCUCUAGGGGUGCUAG
rnacentral:tRNA from 1 species